UGCCCUAGUAACGGCGAGUGAAGCGGCAACAGCUCAAAUUUGAAAUCUGGCUCUCGGGCCCGAGUUGUAAUUUGUAGAGGAUACUUUUGAUGCGGUGCCUUCCGAGUUCCCUGGAACGGGACGCCAUAGAGGGUGAGAGCCCCGUCUGGUUGGAUGCCAAAUCUCUGUAAAGUUCCUUCAACGAGUCGAGUAGUUUGGGAAUGCUGCUCUAAAUGGGAGGUAUAUGUCUUCUAAAGCUAAAUACCGGCCAGAGACCGAUAGCGCACAAGUAGAGUGAUCGAAAGAUGAAAAGCACUUUGAAAAGAGAGUUAAAAAGUACGUGAAAUUGUUGAAAGGGAAGCGUUUAUGACCAGACUUGGGCUUGGUUAAUCAUCUGGGGUUCUCCCCAGUGCACUUUUCCAGUCCAGGCCAGCAUCAGUUUUCCCCGGGGGAUAAAGGCGGCGGGAAUGUGGCUCUCUUCGGGGAGUGUUAUAGCCCACCGUGUAAUACCCUGGGGGGGACUGAGGUUCGCGCAUCUGCAAGGAUGCUGGCGUAAUGGUCAUCAACGACCCGUCUUGAAACACGGACCAAGGAGUCGUCUUCGUAUGCGAGUGUUCGGGUGUCAAACCCCUACGCGUAAUGAAAGUGAACGCAGGUGAGAGCUUCGGCGCAUCAUCGACCGAUCCUGAUGUUCUCGGAUGGAUUUGAGUAAGAGCAUACGGGGCCGGACCCGAAAGAAGGUGAACUAUGCCUGUAUAGGGUGAAGCCAGAGGAAACUCUGGUGGAGGCUCGCAGCGGUUCUGACGUGCAAAUCGAUCGUCA
rnacentral:rRNA from 1 species